GCGCAUGUGGCGGAAUUGGUAGACGCGCUAGAUUCAGGUUCUAGUGUCAGCAAUGAUGUGAAGGUUCGAGUCCUUUCGUGCGCA
rnacentral:tRNA from 1 species